rnacentral:lncRNA from 1 species
CAUUAUAUCUCAAUAAAGCUGUCAUUUAAAAAACACUCAAAGAGGAAAUAACAACUUCCAUUAAAAAAUGUGAUAAGAGGGGCCGGCCCCGUGGCCGAGUGGUUAAGUUUGCAAGCUCCGCUGCAGGCGGCCCAGUGUUUCGUUGGUUCGAAUCCUGGGCGCGGACAUGGCACUGCUCAUCAAGCCACACUGAGGUGGCGUCCCACAUGCCACAACUAGAAGGACCCACAACGAAGAAUAUACAACUAUGUACCGGGGGGCUUUGGGGAGAAAAAGGAAAAACAUAAAAUCUUUAAAAAAAAAAUGUCAUGAGAAUAAAUACAUGGUCCUGCCUUUGGGUUCAAAAAAUAACUGGGCUGAGGUGGCCAUCUCUUUUUGCCUGGCCAGCCUCCAUCUCCUUUUAGGUGACAGCCUCUGGUUUCUGUGGAGAACCAGCUUCGUCCUUGUGGUCCUGUUGGGAGUAUUAUUCACAGGGCUCCUUACCUCCCACAAAGGGGGCAAACGACCCGAGCUCAGCCAGAUGAGACCCUGAGCCGAGUGUCUCAUGGAAGAUGUUAGGUCUGACUCCUGCCCAGGGCAGCACUUGAAAGUUCCAGCUGAGACCGCUGGAGAUGGCUCCAUUCCUGUGCUUAGUUUUGGGCACCGUCUUCUAAUACACUUCUUUUCUGCCUAGAUUAGCUAGAAUGGGUUAAACAAGAGUUGCUUGCAAAGGGAAACCUCAACCUAUACAAUGACUUAACGUGGCUUAGCAGCGGCACAUGCAAAACAUCCAGGAGUUUUAGCAUCAAUGUUAAUAACAGCAACUAACAUUAUCGAGCACUUCUGGGGGGCUGCUGCUGUGCUAAGAACUCUAUAUGCUUUUUCUCAUUUGAUUCAACCCACCCAAUGACUGUAGGAGGUAGGUCCUAUCUUGGUUCCACUUUACGCAUGACGAAAUGAAGCACAGAAAAAUUAGGUAAAUAUUCUGAGGUCCUGCAGCCAACUGUUGGAAUCAGGACUCAAAUCCAGGUCUCCCUGACUCUGAAACAGUGCUCCUAGCCACGGCCAUCUACUGCCUCAACAGGAGUCAGCAUUGUGGAUGGAUGCCCAGAGCAAAUGGGACCUCAGGCCAUGACCGGAGAAGUUCAAGGUAACAAAGCAAGUCCUACUGUUCUCCGGCAGUGGUCUCAGAGGUAGGGCCUGGACCUUAAGAUGCUCUAAGGCAGAGUUCUUAACCCUGACUGCAUAUUGGAAUCAGCUGGGGAGCUUUAAAACUGCU